rnacentral:tRNA from 1 species
UGAGUUGUAGCUCAGUGGUAGAGCACUCACCUAGCAUGUGUGAGGUCCUGGGUUCAAUCUAUAGCACUGCAG